GCCCGAAAACCAGUUCACCAAUAGCUCGAGCUGACCGGAAAGGGCGGAAGCUCCUACUAGCUAGGGUUUCUGAGGAGAUGGCGUCGGCGAAGGCGAAGACCCUAGCGCGGGCGGGCUCCUCCCUCCUCGCCCGCCUCCUCGCCUCCCCGUCCCCGCUUCGCGCCGGCCUCCCUCCGCCGCCGCCUCUGCUCGCUAGGCUGCAGCCGCACGUCAUCCCGCCGCCGCCGCCGGAGACGACGGUGGAGGCCUACGAGGCGCAGGCGGUGGCGAGGCUGAGCUCCCUGCCCGGAGAGAUCUCAUUCCCCUGCGGCCUCCCCUCGCUCCGGUUCCUCAUCGACGAAGGAAAGGAUCCUGGUGCUAAUGAACCCCUGGAGCUACUUCCAAAAAGAACAUACCAGCCCAGUACCAUCAAGCGGAAAAGAACCCAUGGGUUUCUUACACGAAAAUCAACCAAAGGUGGGCGUAAGGUUAUUGCUCGGAGGAUUGCCAAGGGCAGGCACAGAAUUUCAGUGUAGUGAAAACUCAUAACCAUCUCUGGAGGUUCUUCGGCAACUUCACAUCAUCCAUUCCAUGAACAUCCAAGAACACUCAGUUUCUGCAUGCUUUACCACCCACACCGUGGAGGGACACACUUGCAGCAGAAGCAGUGUGCCAUGUACCGAAUUCCUUUAUGAAAAAUAAACUAGCCAAUGGACUGAUUGGCACUGCUCUUGGCCAAAGGUUGUAUGCACCCAUGUCUAGUUCCAUCUGCACAACCGCAGCUGGCAGGGGCCAAAGCCAAGCUGCUGUCUUUGUGCGUGAGAUCAUUUGCAACCCUCCUAUUUCUGUUGUUUAUUCGUGAGCUAAUCGCAGUCUGACGCCAUGCUGAGCUUGCUUGGCAGGCGUUCUUGUUCCCUGUGUAACCAACCGGGAUUAAUCUUUUCCUCCAGGCCGGUGAAGACGGGGAGAAGAAAAUUUGCAAAGCUGCAUUCGUGUCUCCUGAUGACUCCUGUCGCCAUUUGUCGACAGGAGAAUUCUGGACGACGUGUUUGGUUUCUCUUGCUUGGCUGGUUUUCUGUACCUGCUGCGACGUGGCUGUAGCGCCGUGUGUACGUGGAUGCCCUGGAGCUGAUUACCGGUGUGUGCCGCGGAUGCUGAGAGUGAGGCUACUGUGCUGCCUGAGCUGAUGAGACAGCAGUCAAGCAGGUGGUUGGUCCGCAUGCUUUUGGUUCAUCUCUGCUAGGCGUGAACUCGCACGUGUCAGUUAGAUUAUUGUUGUUUUGUUCCACGGUGGAACACUAGGGUAUUAUUACUCUCUGUCGAAAAUAAGCUCAUUUAAGUUGUUUUAUUUA